rnacentral:snRNA from 1 species
AUUGCUUCUCUGCCUUUUGGCUAAGAUCAAGUAUAGUAUCUGUUCUUAUCAGUUUAAUAUCUGAUACAUCCUCAAUUUGAGGACAAUAUAGUGAAAGACCCUAACCCUUCAGGCUUACACCCCCAAGCCUCAGGAAAAGAGAAACUUCA